rnacentral:rRNA from 1 species
GACGAACGCUGGCGGCGUGCUUAACACAUGCAAGUCGAACGGACAGGCCCUGAUUUUGUGGGGUGCUCGAGUGGCGCACGGGUGUGUAACACGUGAGUAACAUGCCCUUGUCUUUGGGAUAACUUCAGGAAACUGGGGCUAAUACCCGAUAGGAGAUCCUGCUGCAUGGUGGUGGUUGGAAAGUUUCGGCGGUUGGGGCUGGACUCGCGGCUUAUCAGCUUGUUGGUGGGGUAGUGGCUUACCAAGGCUGUGACGGGUAGCCGGCAUGAGAGGGUGACCGGCGACAUGAGGACUGAGAUACGGCCCAGUCGCCUAUGGGAGGCAGCAGGGGGGAGUAUUGCACAAUGGGCGGAAGCCUGAUGCAGAAGCGCCGCGUGCGGGAUGACGUCCUACGGGUUGUAAACCACUUUCGCCUGUGACGAAGCGUGCGUGACGGUAAUGGGUAAAGAAGCAACGGCUAACUACGUG